rnacentral:rRNA from 1 species
GCGGCGUGCUUAAUACAUGCAAGUAAAAUUGUCUAAGGGUAGCAAUAUUGUAAGAAGAGUGGCGCACGGGUGAGUAACACGUAGGUAAUCUGCCUUUAGGACUGACAUAAUGUCGAGAAAUCGGCACUAAUAUCAGAUAAUGCAGCGGCUCGGCAUCGAGACAGUUGUUAAACCUUCGGGGCCUAAAGAUGAGCCUGCGGUCCAUUAGACUGUUGGUGGGGUAAAAGCCCACCAAGUCAACGAUGGAUAGCUGGUCUGAGAGGACGAUCAGCCACACUGGAACUGAGACACGGUCCAGACUCCUACGGGAGGCAGCAGUAAGGAAUAUUGCUCAACGGCCGAAAGGCUGAAGCAGCAACGCCGCGUGAAGGAUGAAAGGCUUUUGCUUGUAAACUUCUGUAAGAGGGGAAAAAGAAUCCUUUUUAAGGAAUUGAUUGUACCUUCAGAGUAAGCCCCGGCUAACUACGUGCCAGCAGCCGCGGUAAUACGUAGGGGGCAAGCGUUGUCCGGAUUUACUGGGUGUAAAGGGUGCUCAGGCGGAUUUGUAAGUCAGGGGUGAAACUCCGGAGCUUAACUCCGGAACUGCCUCUGAUACUGCAAGCCUGGAGUUUGAGAGAGGGCAAUGGAAUAUCUGGUGUAGCAGUGAAAUGCGUAGAUAUCAGAUAGAACACCCAAUGGCGAAGGCCAGUUGCCUGGCUCAAUACUGACGCUAAAGCACGAAAGUGUG